rnacentral:lncRNA from 1 species
UCGUCAGCCAAUUGACAUAUUUUUAUACUACAGUCUUUUCCAUUUAAUUUAAUUUGGAACCCUUUGAUAUUUUUCUCAGAUCUAAUUCUGCAUGCUAAUACCUCCACCGCUAGUACAAAAAUCAAAGCGGACAACGGACAUCCUUGUCGAAUUCCGCGACAGAUCUGAAAGGGGUUUGAUAUCCACCCAUUAUUUACAAUGCACCCUGAUAUACCAUUGUAUAUAGUCUCAACCCAGUGUAUAAAAUCUUUUUUAAAUCCAAAUUUUUUUAAUGUUUGUAUCAUAAAAAACCAUUCAAUUGAAUCAAAAGCUUUUGAAAAAUCUAGAAAUAAAAUUGCUCCUUCAACAUUGAAGUUUUCAGCAUAGUCAAUAACAUCUUGUAUUUGUCUUAUAUUAAAACCAAUGUAUCUAUUUUUUACAUAGCCCUUCUGGUCUGCAUUAAUAAUAUUGGGUAAAACUUUUUUUAGUCUUUGUGCAAGUGCAUAAGCAAGAAUUUUAACAUCUACAUUUAAUAAAGUUAUUGGCCUAUAGUUAUCCAGAGAUUUUGGAUCAUUCUUUUUAAAGAUCAGUGAAAUUGCCCCCUUUUUUUUGCGAAUUUGUCAAACUUUUCUUUUUAUAUGACUCAUUAUAUACUUUGGUUAGUAUCUUUUGAAUUUGGGGCCAAAAUUUUCUAUAGAAUUCUACAUUAAGUCCAUCUAAACCUGGUGCUUUAUUAAGUUUCAUUUUAAACACUGCUUCUGUAAUUUCUUCUGAUGUCACGAGCCCUUCUAAGCUAUUACUAUCUUUAUCUGAGAGUUUUUUUUUCUAUUUUAGUAUUUUGAAUAUACUCUUUAGUAUGUAAUUUAUCUGGCUUUGAUGAUUUAUAUAGUUUUUCAUAAUAUUUUACUUCCUCUUUUAAAAUUUCUGUUUGGUCUGUUAUAGUAUUGCCUUUAUUGUCAUAUAAUUCUAUUAUAGUUUUAUUUAUUUGUCUUGAUUUUUCUAAAUUCAAGAAAAAAGCAGUAUUUUUUUCACCUUCUUCUAUCCAUUUUGCUCUUGACCUUAUUUGAGCUCCUUUAGUUUUUUCAAGGUAUAAUUGAUCUAAAUGUUCAGAUAUAUUAUUUAUCUGCGAAAUUAAUACAGAAUUAUUAGUACUUUCACUUUGGUCUAAUUUAAUAUUUAGCUUAUUAAGGUCGUUUUCAUAAGUUUGAAUUUUAUCUCUUUUUUGUUUUGCUUUUCUUUUGCAAAAAUCUAGACUGAUGUCCCUAACUUCAGAUUUAAAGUUAUCCCACAGUAUACCUAAAUUUUCUGUCGUUUUUUCCUUGUUUUCGUAAUAUUUUAUUAGUUUUUCUAUAUUACAACAGUAGUCUCUAUCAUUCAGUAUUGAUGAGUUUAAUUUCCAGUAUCCUUUUCCUCUGUUUACUUUUUGAGUUCUGAUUUUUAAUGAAAUACCGUUAUGGUCUGUUGAUUUUAAUAUAAUAGGCCUUAUAUCUGCUUUGACUAUUUGUGCUUUACAUUCCUUACUUACAAGGAAGAAGUCGAUUCUAGUUGCUUCUAAUCCUGAUUUUCUACGCCAUGUAUAUUGAAUUUGUGUUGGGUUUUUAUCUCUCCAUAUAUCUAUAAAUUUGAAAUAUUUUAUGAGCGUUUUAAGCCCGUGAACUGGUUUGUCAAAUUUGUUUUUUGUUUUUUUUUAUUUUUUGUAUCAUUAAUUUUUAGAAUGUCAUUAAAAUCUCCUCCCAUUAUAAUUUGGCCUAAGCUAUGUUCUUGAGUCCAGUCUUUUACUUUUUUAAAGAAAGCAUUUCUUUUUUUUUGCUAUAUUUGGUGCAUAUAUAUUUAUAAGAGAAUAGACAUUAUCUCCUAGUUCAACAUUAAUUAAUAGAUAACGUCCCUCCUGAUCUUUAAAUUCAUUUAUAAU